rnacentral:lncRNA from 1 species
GAGAUCCCGCUGCCACUUGGGGACCGGGGGCCACCAGGGGCUCCACUCUGGCGAGGGCACAGUCUGGGCGCCCAGAAGGACUACGAUAAGGAAACCUAGUACGCUUUAGGGUACGGUCCUUCGCAGACCCUAAGUGGAUCAGGUUCUGAAGAGGAUUCGAGGAGUUUGCAGCUAAUCACUCAGCAGAGUUUUUUUCUCUAAGGGAGCAAAACUUAAUUCUCUGGGACUGGAGAAAAGGAAGAACGCACACACAGAGUUGGUUGAUGAAGAAAGGGUCCAACAACUUUAUUUUCUUCUCUUAAGACUUUUUAUAUCACCUAAUACAAAAAUUCUCUAAAUGUUCUUUUUUUGAAACCCCACACUUAACAUAUCCCAUCUUUCUUUCCACACAUCAUUCUAACCCAAACCAAUAAUUCUUUUGUCAUUGAUCAACAAAGUUUAAGCAAGCCAAGUCUAUAGUAGCUAGCUAGGUUUUCCAUAUGCUAGCUGACAACAGUUUGUAUUUACCAAGAAAUAAAUCAUUUAUUAUAUGUC